CUACUUCCUGGGUGGAUUUAUGAUCAAAUACAGAGCCGGUGGGCUCAGGGCAUACUGAAGCAAAGCCUUCUCUUCUCCUACUGUACAUGGGCAGGCUCUUGGAUGCCCUUUUCCAGAAUGGAGCUGCUUCAGAAGCCAGGAGAACCUGUUCAUUUUCCCGGGCAGCUCCAAGAGUGAGCCUUCUAAUCUCCUCUCCAUCCUGCCCACUUCGAUGCUGGGCAGAAAGGGCUGGGCCUUGAUCUCCCAGAGGCACCAUGUUCGGAACAACCCUUAGAGCCCUUCGCCUGAGUCCCCCAGGAGUCUGGGGACCCCUGCAUUGACAUGCAGCUCCUAACAUCUGCAGUGAUUGCCCAUCCUUUGUUCCAUGGACUCUUUGCUUUUCCUCUCCUGCUGAUCCCCAUGGAUGACACAGCCUCACGUUGUCCAAGUGCUACAGGCAAGAUCCAGUCUAGCCUUUCAGAUUUGUUUCAUUACCGAGUGAUUGAUCACUGUUUUUGUGCAACAUGUUGGUUUCUCUGCUACUUCCAGUUACUAAACUAGAUAUUUAUUUGCGCUCGUACAGCUUUGCACUUUCAACUUUCCUACAUCUUUGGACAUAAUUAAUUCAAGAAAAACUAGAAGGCACCUCAAAAUUAAGCACAGAUAUGGCAAACCAGCCUGAACUGAAGCUGUCGUGGGGGUGACUGGCAUGCAGGGUACAUUCUUAAUGUGCUUUCCACGGGACAAAGUGAACCUUGGGGCACAAAAAGACUUUGCUUAUCUCCAAAGUUAGUAAAGACUGCGAAAGUUGAGGAGAUGCUUUGCAAAAACAGUAACCUGAAUGUUAAAAUGCGUACCGAUUCAUAACAUUCCUUGUUUGGAAGCAUCGGGGCAUGUUGGGGCAUGUCCUUCUCCUUACGCCUCAAGAGCAAAUCACACAAACUCCACGGAAGGGACUGACUCAAGUUGUUAGACAUGGAUGUGCAAUUGGUCUACAGUCAGAACUUCCUGGAAACUUUAUCUAAAAUGUAGGCCUAAGGUCUUACAGAAUAAAAGCAAGAAACUGAAGAAAAGCAAGAAGACCUUUCUAGGAAAAUGUGAAACUGGAAAUCUCUAUGACAGUCACACAGAACCAUCCCCUUUCUUUGGCAUAAUUUGGAAACAAAUUAUUUCAGAUUAGUGGAAGUUUGUCAAUAUUGUGUAGUAUAUUACCUUUUUUUUUCUUUUAACUUCUAGGAAUUUUCAUGGAAAUUUUCCUAAAUUUUAUGACGUAUUUCUCUUCUGCGAAUCAGUUCUGAAGAGUGGGGUUCAGUGGGUUGCUCCCUGUGGCCCAUUGCCUGGUAUUUGGUGGGCACAUGAUGAUAUAAAAUGGUAAUGAAAUGGCUGCUUGGAUGUUGAAUUUAAUUUAACCUCACCCAUUGGAUUUCCUUGACGCAUCCUCUUGAAAUUGCCUUGGUGACGCCGCAAUACGGAACAAUCCAGAGGAGGUUUCUGCUGAGUUCCACGGGGACUUCUACUCCCAACCAGGUGGACUUACUCCUCCUAAGGAAUUGCAAUCUAUUUGCUAACUGCUGAAAACCCCCUUAACAAAACUCUCUAGGACUGUGUAAAAUUGAGCCAGAAGGUUACAGAGUAUUCCUCCUCCAGAACCCUCUGCCUCAAGGCAAUUGUGCUUCGACUCAGCAGAGGGGAGCCUUCUGUCUCCAGGACACCUGGAGUCCUGCUCCUCCUCACCAUACCUGGACCAGCUGACUCUGCUCACCGCCUGGCUCUCACCUGUGCCUGGGCCUGACCCACGGUGUCUGAACACACCUGUUCUGUUUUCCAAGGGACUGACCUCUGCACCAGCUAGGAACCAGACUCAGCCAGCCGUCAACCAUGCUCCUGCACAUCCCAGUUCUCCUGGGCAGGUGGCCAGCUGGCAUGUGACACCUGGGCCUAGGACAGGAGGUCUCAGCACUCUGUAGCCUCUGACCCUCCUGAACAGAGCAAAGAGCGAUCCAAGGAGAACCAUGUGGCUUUCAGUCUCCGUAGAAAGUACCGAGGGGACAGAAGAACCUACUCCUUCCAUGAUUGACCCAGGUAUCCAUGGUGAGGAGACAGAGCCAUGUGCAGCUUCUCCACAGCAAAUCUUCAUUUCACUCCACCUAGGAAGCACAGCCUUGGGAGAAGUAAAACCUCCAAAAUCGUAAGUUGGCCUACUGAAGUGGCAAUUUUCUUUCCAAUAAAACAUUAGAAGUAUUAUUUAAUCUUAAAAUAUUCACAAAUAUUUUACAGAUACUUCUGCCAUGCACUUAAUCUCUACAUUAAAUGAGGGUUGCUGGAAAAGUAGGAAAAAACCAAAAGGAUCCUGGGAGGCUGAUUGCCAGCAGAGCCAUUGAAAAGAUUGAAACAAUUGUUUUGUGCCUCAUCUUUACCAAAAUAUUUAAAAUAAAUAUGAACCUCUGUCAAGCUGUCAAGGAGAGGUGGACUGGUGGCUGAAAGGCCCUGCUCUACAUAUUAAG
rnacentral:lncRNA from 1 species